rnacentral:rRNA from 1 species
GAGCCCAAACCGGCGGUGUCGCAAGGCAUGUGCCGGGGUUAUAGGACCGACAUAACGGACCAAGGAUUCUAGUGGAAGCGCAUGGAGCGGCGCGCCACAGCGGGUGAGAGCCCCUUACACGAAAGGAUCCGCGGAACAGGUCGGCACCUGAGUAGGCCGGGACACGAGAAAUCCCGGUUGAAUUGUCGGGGACCAUCCCGAAAGGCUAAAUACUACCGAGAGACCGAUAGCGAACGAGUACCGUGAGGGAAAGGUGAAAAGCACCUCG